AAUUCGAAAUUCAAACCCUAAACCCUAAAACUCAACUCUAAACCCUAAACCAUCAAUCAUAAACCCUAUUUUUUUCGAAAUACGAACCCUAAACCCUAAACCAUCAAUUCUAUACUUUUUUUUUAAAUAAACCCUAAACCCUGAAACAUCAACUCUAAUCUCUAAACCCCGAAACAUCAACUCUAAACCAUAAACCCUAAACCUUCUUCAAAAAUCAACUCUAAACCCUAAACCCUAAACCCUAAAACAUCAACUCUAAACCCUAAACCCUAAACUUCAACUCUAAACCCUAAACCAUCAACACUAAACCCUAAACUAUCAACACUAAACCCUAAACCCUAAAGAGUAAACUCUAAACCCUAAACC
rnacentral:lncRNA from 1 species